rnacentral:rRNA from 1 species
CUAAGUCGGGACGGGAUAAACGCUGAAAGCAUCUAAGCGUGAAGCCUCCUUCAAGAUGAGAUUUCCCAUAGCGUAAGCUAGUAAGACCCCUUGAAGACUACAAGGUUGAUAGGUCAGAGGUGUAAGUAUGGCAACAUAUUUAGCUGACUGAUACUAAUAGGUCGAGGGCUUGACCAAUAA